GGGAAUAUGGCUUAGUGGUAGGGUGCUUGCCUAGCAUGCAUGAAGCCCUGGGUUCAAUUCCCAGUACCA
rnacentral:tRNA from 1 species